CAUUGAUUAUUUAUUAUUUAUAGUGUUUAUUUCAGUUUGAGAUGAUUCUGGCUUACAGUUAAUGAAGAAAUAGACAUCAGUUUAUCAGCAAUAAUUUAAGAUUUUAUAAAUAAAACAAAGAGGUGAGAAGGGAAACAGGCAUCACUAUCCACAAUAACUAACAAUUCUGAAUUAAUACGAGCUGGAACAACAUUUAAUUCCCCUUUCGGAUCAAUGACAUAUUUUUUUUGUUUAAUUUUGGUGGGUUCUGGUGUUUCACUACAACUCCCAUCAGCCCCCUCGGUCUGCAGCCAGGAAGGUAAACAAACCGAGUGGCAACCGCGAGAAGGACCUCGCUGCAGCAAACAGAAAGGGGCGGGGACGGACCUUUCCGUCAGUCCCAUACCUUAUUUGGAAAUGGGACUAUUGCAUUCCGGAAAUGAAGGGGGCGCUAUUUUCAUAAUCACUAGUAUAAAUACCUUAAGACGCGGAGUUAAGAGGAACAGAAGAAGAAAGAAAGAAGUUUGAGAGGUUCUUCCUCUGGUGUUCGGCUCACGAUCAACAAUGCAAAACUCACAAAGUCAACAAAAGAUCCACGUAUCUAUUUGCAACAUGAACAUAAAUACUGCUGUCCCUUUUGCUAAUACAAGCUACAGAACCAUUUAGCACAAACUGCUAUAGUUCAACAUAACGAUGCCUCUGAAUGUUCUUGAAGCUGUUCUCCAGGAGGUGGCGCUAGCACAGGGAGACUCAGCUUAUCUCACCUUGGCAUUGACCUGCAAGUGCUUUGAAGCCGUUGAGUCUGAGCCAGUUUUCAGGAAGAAGACUCACUUUGCUUGGCUGGAUGGUGAGAUCAACUGGGGCAAAUUUUCAAAAAACAUUCACGGCAGAAAACCGGAUUCCUUUUGCGGUUGUAACGUGUUCUUCCUGCAACCGGUAAUAUAAAGACUGUGGGCUUCACCGGCGAUGGAAGACGAGGAGAGUACCCUGGUUACUACUGUGAUGGCCGACCUGGACACUGCACUGACUGUCAAUACUGAAUGCAAGGAGAAUAUUAGUUGCUUUCCUCAGUCUUUCACACAUUUCAGUUGUCACACAUUGUUCGUUUUUUUUGUGACAUGCCAUUUUAAAUCAUUUCUGCUAAAUAAUUUUUGACUUGUGCAGUCAUCCUUUUUAAUAAUGUGUUCUUUCAAUAUUAUUUACAUUUUUGAAUGUUCCUUUUGUUGUAGCUCAGUUGAUUUGCAUUAUUUAGUUUUCAUAGAAAUGGUGCCGUUUCCACACAAAGUUACAUUGUGGCUGUAAUUUGUUGGAGAGAGUAGAACCAAUAAAGUAGUUGUAAAUAUAUUGUAACAGCGUUGUUUAACAAUAGGAUAACCUUGUUUUAAAAAUUUUAAAUGCAAGCAAAGCUAAUAACUUGCAAUAUUUUAUAUGUGUAAAUACAAUGUUUCCUAUACAUUUUGAACAAUGACUGGAAUCAAUACAAAUUUUUUUACAAACCUGACAUACAGCCAAGUUGUUUAUGUUUUAACAGUCAGAAUCAACUGUUGGGGUUUUUUGUAAUAAAGUAGCACAUACAGAAACAUAUUGUUCGGUUACAAACAAGAUUAAACGAGCAGAGCGAAGGUGUAGUCGGGGUGGAGGUGAUGGAAGCUCAGAUGAGGAGCAGUUGCACACAUCAAGCCGGACUUUAUGAAGGGUGGAGGAGAUGAGCCCGGCGCCGUUAGGCUGGGAUGGAGACACAUGAUCAGGUGAUUGGCUGAGCAGCUGAGAUGAAGACAGUUAUAGUUAGAAUUUACACAUUGGUUUAAUUUAUGUAACCAGUGACUUUAUUCAAAAAGGUUUUCAUAUAGAACAAAGAUCAUUCUCUCUGGCAGUUACCAGUGCAGUGUCUACUGCCGGGGUCCGAGCGCCAAAGAUUAUUUCUUGUCAAAUAAACUUUCUAAAACUUU